UACGGGGGGUGCGAGCGUUGUCCGGAAUCACUGGGCGUAAAGGGCGCGUAGGUGGUUUGAUAAGGGUGUGGUGAAAGCCCGGGGCUCAACCCCGGGUCUGCCGUGCCGACUGUCAAACUCGAGGGCUGUAGAGGCGGACGGAAUUCCGGGUGUAGCGGUGGAAUGCGUAGAGAUCCGGAGGAAGACCGGUGGCGAAGGCGGUCUGCUGGGCAGUUUCUGACACUGAUGCGCGACAGCGUGGGGAGCAAACAGG
rnacentral:rRNA from 1 species